rnacentral:misc_RNA from 1 species
GAGAGAGUAGACUGUUGAGGGAGAGUGUGACGAAAAGGUAAUUGAAAUUUGAGUUGUUAAAUUCCCGCCUAAACGGACAUGUUUCAAAAGGAAGAUUUCAUUGCUUAUAAGAUCUUCCCUGUCUUGGAUUGAAAACCAUAGUUGUGUUCUUGUUGAUCACCGAAAAAUAGUUGCAGAUUUUCGUAAGCUUUGAUUAAAAAGGAAAAUAUUGAUUAUGGAAGAGACUGUGAAAGAAGUUAAAGAACAGCAGGCUGCUGUUGUUCCUGGGAAGUCGAAGUUAAGGUAUCCGCUGAGAUCGGCGACGAAAGCGAAAGAGGAGAAGCCACUGGUGGCUGAAUUGUCAAAUUCUUCUGCUUCCAAGAGGGGAAAGCCUGCGUCAAGUGUAAGUAAAAGCAUGGGCGUUCUUGAUCUCUCUGGCAAAGACAAAUCUGCCAAGCCGCCCAGAAGGUUGUCUAUUCCUGCCAAGUCAGUGGUCACUCCAGCUGCAAAACCAGCUUUGAACAUCACUCCAAUCUCUGAGGCUAGAACAAAGAGAUCCACUAACAAUCAGGGGAAAAGUGAGACACCUCUUUCUGAUGUUUCCAGGACAGCAAGCCGAAAGAGGUUCAACACGCUCGCUUCAGCUUCAUAUUGGCUAUCGCAAAUUAAGCUCUCUGAAUCUGCUGUUAAGCACUCAAUUUCUCUUGGUUUUUUCAAGCUUGCUUUGGAAGCUGGAUGUGAGCCUCUCCAACGUAUGAGGGAUGAGCUUAAAUCAUAUGUGCAACGUCAUGAUCAUGAACUUGGUGAAAUUGGGGAAUCUGUGAAAGAAUUAUUUGAGAGCUAUGGUAUUGCGGACAAUCAAGAGCAGGUGCAGGUUUCUGAAUCCUGUUCUCAAGUACCUGAAGAGGGAACUCGAUCAUCUGAUGAUGAAGUCCUCAGCUCCUCCUCAAUGGGAAAUAGGAAACUGACGCCUAGGUCUUUAAAUGCUGAUGCUGCUCAAGCUUCCAAAGUCACAGAAUCAGCCAAGAAGGUCACACAGAAGAAUACUACUGCACCUAGGUCCAGGGCAUCUCAGAACAAGAACACUGCGAAUUCAAGAUCUGUUUCAGGAACUGCUGGUCAGAAGCUGCAGAGGAAACCCCAGAGGCCAGGUAAGGACAAAAUCAAGCAGGGAAAGAAAUCUGCUACUGAAGAAGGUAGACACAGAAUCACCGUUUAUACAAUGAAUAUUUUCAAUAUAAUUGGCUGGCUGCAAGUUAAUGUAUUCUUCUAUCAGCAGGUCCAAUAAGCCCACCUGCCAAUGGCGAUACACCCGAAGAAAACAAAGAAAAUCUGGUAAUUUAAUCUUUUAAACAAUUUCUAUUUAUGAUAGACUUCUGUGGAUCAUAUCUGCUUCGCUUGUACAAUUUAAUUUUCUGGUUGACUUCUACUGAUGGAUUCUAAUAUCUUGUUCUGUUUUAGGAUGCUCCGCCAAUGGAGAUCAGUCUGACAGAAAUCAGCUAGACAGUUCUGCAGCAAAACAUACUCAAUCAUAUCAUUCUCGUACUCUUUGUGGGUCUUCAGUGUUUUUUUUUUUACCAAGUGAGGGCUUUUCAGGAGACAAUAGUUCAAGAUGAAGAUAGUGUUUUUCAGUCUGGUGUGAAAUCGAGACAAUUUCAUUUGUUUUUAUGUCUGUUUAAUGAUUAAUGUGCAUCGCAUUGGUGUUUAGUAUUAUAAAUUUACUGGUCAAACAAAUUGUAUCUGACGAAUUUAUUAUAUACUUAUUUUUGGCUUAAUAUGUUAUCAAUCUUUUCAGGAGAAAGUUCCCUUCUUUGUAUUCCUCGAAAAUUGGAUGCAAUAAUAAAAGUUCCCAGG